ACUCCACCAUCUUUUGUCUGGAAAUUUGGGAUACUGCGGUCGCCAGACGGUGCUCCUCAGAUUUUGGGUUUGGAUUGUACCUCCCGAGGCUAUGCUGCCAGAGUGCGCUAUGGGUUUAGAAGAGCAACAAAAGAUUAAUAAAUCUCCGGAGUUGGUGUCAUUUGAGGAUGUGGCUGUGGACUUCACCUGGGAGGAGUGGCAGGACCUGAAUGAUGCUCAAAGGACUUUGUACAGGGAUGUGAUGCUGGAGACCUACAGCAACCUGGUGUCACUGAAUGUCCAGAUAGAUGAUGACCUAGUGGAGAGGAACCAAGAAUGUCAUGGUAGAUGCUUGCAGCAAAUUGUAAUCACCAACAGCAACACAGCAGCUGAGGAGAGAGUUGUGUUAGGAAAAUCAUUUUAUUUGAAUUCAUAUCAUGUUUUAAGUUGGAUUAUAAAUAAUGGAAACCAUUCAGGAAAGGGACAUGAGGAGUUUUACAUAUGUCAGAAUGCCCUUCUUCCUAGAGAGCCUGAUGAGAUGCCUGCUGGAGAGAAAUCUGAUGACCAUCAUCCAAAUGGAAAAUUGCCGAGACAUCAUGAGCAUCUUAGUCAGCAUCCCAAUAUUCAAACUGGGAAGCAGCCUUUAGAAUACAGUGGAAUAGGAAAAUUGCCCUACACAGAGCCAAUGAUAUUUAUAAAUAAAGAGGUUCAUAUGGAUGAAACCACCUGUAAGCAUAAUGAAUAUUGGAAAGGCUGUGGUAAGUCAGCUGUCAU